AACGAACGCUGGCGGCGUGCCUAACACAUGCAAGUCGAGCGAGAAAGCUCCUUCGGGAGCGAGUAAAGCGGCGCACGGGUGAGUAACACGUAGGUAACCUACCCCCAAGUCUGGAACAACCGGAGGAAACUCCAGCUAAUGCCGGAUGAGACCACGGAUCCUUCGGGUUCUGUGGCCAAAGAUGGCCUCUGCUUGCAAGCUAUCGCCUGGGGAUGGGCCUGCGGGCCAUUAGCUAGUUGGUGAGGUAACGGCUCACCAAGGCAGUGAUGGCUAGCUGGUCUGAGAGGAUGACCAGCCACACUGGGACUGAGACACGGCCCAGACUCCUACGGGUGGCAG
rnacentral:rRNA from 1 species